rnacentral:rRNA from 1 species
CCUACGGGAGGCAGCAGUAGGGAAUCUUCCACAAUGGGCGAAAGCCUGAUGGAGCAACGCCGCGUGGGUGAAGAAGGUCUUCGGAUCGUAAAACCCUGUUGUUAGAGAAGAAAGUGCGUGAGAGUAACUGUUCACGUUUCGACGGUAUCUAACCAGACAGCCCCGGCUAACUACGUGCCAGCAGCCGCGGUAAUACGUAGGUGGCAAGCGUUAUCCGGAUUUAUUGGGCGUAAAGGGAACGCAGGCGGUCUUUUAAGUCUGAUGUGAAAGCCUUCGGCUUAACCGGAGUAGUGCAUUGGAAACUGGGAGACUUGAGUGCAGAAGAGGAGAGUGGAACUCCAUGUGUAGCGGUGAAAUGCGUAGAGAUAUGGAAGAACACCAGUGGCGAAAGCGGCUCUCUGGGCUGUAACUGACGCUGAGGUUCGAAAGCGUGGGUAGCAAACAGGAUUAGAUACCCGAGUAGUC